rnacentral:other from 1 species
AAUUCUCUGAGAUGUUUGCAAGCGGGCCAGUCCCCUGAGCCGAUAUUUCAUACCACAAGAAUGUGGCGCUCCACGGUUGGUGAGCAUGCUCGGUUCGUCCGAGAAGCCUUAAAACUGUGACGACAUUCACCUUGAACCAAGGGUUCUAGGGGCUACAGCCUGCGGCGGCAUCUCGGAGAUUCC